UGCCCAGCAACUCCUAUCCCUACCUCCUCGUGUUGCUAACCGGGGUACGAGUAACCUUAGGGAAGAUUGGGUAACCAACCCCCGGUGGGAACUUUGGUCAAUUGCUUCAUGACAGGGAAGG
rnacentral:ribozyme from 1 species